GCUCUGGCUGAGUGGUCCGCCAAUUGGUUGGUACUGCUUCGGCUGGGGCUCACCUUCUGGUGAGCCGUCAUGUCCUUCACUGGGUGUGGCGAGGAACCAGGACUUUUACCUUGAAAAAAUUAGAGUGUUCAAAGCAGGCGCACGCUUGUAUAGAUUAGCAUGGAAUAAUGGAAUAGGACCUGUGGUCUUGUUUUGUUGGUUUCUGAGACCGCGGUA
rnacentral:rRNA from 1 species